AAGACUCAGCAACAGUGUGUUGUGUGUUCCUCUAUAUUUCCCAGACCCCUUUGCCAUUAGGUCGGCUCCGUAUGACUGAGUUCUAGCCAGUGAGGUAUGGGCAGAAGUGAUGUGUACCAAUUGCGAGCUCGACUUUUGAAAUCAUCCCACGUGAUCCUCCUGCCAUCUACCAGCCAUCCUUUUUGAUCUUGAAGGUCUUAUGCCUCAGAUUGUGUAACUACAGGAUGAAGGAAGGCCACUCAACCCACACUUGGACAUGAUGUCACAGUGUUUGGACACCGCAUGAACAUGCCAAUUUCCUGUGUUGUAAUAUUUUUAUGCACUUUAAGAAGACCACCAGAAACAGCAGAGUGAGUGAAUGAUUAUACUUCAUUGCAAAGGGGUAUGGACACACAGAGAGAUGGAGAAUGGGAGCUAUUUUGCAGUUUGCUGUACAAGCCACGGCAGACUGCACAUGGAUAGUUGCACCACUGCACGCCCUAGUGUAUGAUACAACAGAGGCACAGACAGGCUUACUCAGAUCACAUUGCCAGUGAAUAAUGGAUCCAGGAUUCAAGUUGGCAUUUUGACCCAAAUCUGCAGCCUUAACCAUGAUGACACACUGUCCCUGUAUGUAUUAUUUCUAAUGCUGCCUGACGCACAUAUUCUAGCUACCACAUAAUAAACAUUCAUUGAUUAUUAC
rnacentral:lncRNA from 1 species